rnacentral:siRNA from 1 species
UAACGUCUCGGGAUUUUGGCCA